GAAUCCGCUAAGGAGUGUGUAAUAACUUACCUGCCGAAUGAAUUAGCCCUGAAAAUGGAUGGCGCUCAAGCGGGCAGCCGACACCACACCGUUUGUUUUAUAUAUAACAGAUGAGUAGGAGGGCGUGGUGGCCGUAUCGAAGCAUGCGUGCGAACGCUUGUGGAACGGCCACUAGUGCAGAUCUUGGUGGUAGUAGCAAAUAUUCAAGCGAGAUCCUUGAAGGGCGAAGCGGGGAAGGGUUCCACGCGAACAUUGAUUGGGCGUGGGUGAGUCGUUCCUAAGCCGAGUGGCCAUUGCUAAUUAUAGGCGAAAGGGAAGCGGGUUGAAAUUCCCGCACACGGAUGUGGAGGCGGUGACGCACAUUGAGACGAAAACAUCGGCGAUGGCGCUGGGCAGAGAUGUCUUUUCUGUUUAAUCAUUAUCAUGCUGUGUGGAAUCCGCUUGUCGGGAGAAACACGCAUGAAAGGUAAGAGCGCCGGGGCUUUUCCGGCGUCCAGCUCGCCAACGACGGUCCUUGAAAAUUUGUCUAAUGAUCAGAUCCACGCCGUGGCGUACCGAUAACCGCAUCAGGUCCCCAAGGUGAACAGCCUCUGUCCAGUAUGAAUAAUGCAGGUAAGGGAAGUCGGCA
rnacentral:rRNA from 1 species